AAAGCCGAAUGCUUUAGUUUCCGGACUUGGUACCACAAUCCCAAAGAUUGUUUUAAAUGGAUUGUAUAUGUACCUAAGUAGUCUAAUCCUCACAAUCUUCCUAUUGAUAAUGUAUCAUUGGAAGAACAUGUUAGAUAAGUCUAUCAUAAAGAGGACAACACUUUUAACGUCAUAGUUCUUCACUUACAAAUCGUUGUAUGAAGAAAUAAGAGUUGCUUUGAACAACCCUUA
rnacentral:lncRNA from 1 species